UUGAGUUUACUUUGGUUGGGUGAAUCGUGAGCUUCUGAUUUUGAGCUCUUUUUUGAUGUUCAAUCUUUUGCUUGAAAAAAGGCGAAUUUGAGCCUCUUUUAUAUUAAAUCAAGGUCAGCUUUAGUUCUACAUUCACCGAAUGUUGUUGGUUUGUGAAUACAGUUUUGCGUAAUUUUGAUCCUUCUUGUUGUUAGUAUGUUAUCAUUGUUUGGCAUAAUUUUGGUCCUUGUUUCUCAUGUUGGCAACAGUCCUUAUAAUCUGCUUUCUUUCUUGUGUGUCUGAGUGGCUGUCUGGCGAACUUUGGGCUGGUGACUCUGUGAGCUUCUGAUUUUGAGCUGUUUUGUGAUGUUCAAUCUUCUGCUUGAAAAAGGCGAAUCUCAGGCUCUUUUUGUUUGCUUAAAUCUAGGUCGGCUUUAGUUUUACAUUCGAUGAAUGUUGUUGGUAUGUGAACAAAGUUUGGGGUAAUUUUGAUCCUUGUUGAUCCUUGUAGUUCUUGGUAUGUGAACAAAGUUUGGCAUAAUUUUGAUCCUUGUUUCUCAUGUUGGCAACAGCCCUUGUACCUAUAUAUCUGCUUUCUUCCUUGUAUGUGUGGCUGUCUGUCUAACUUUGGGUAGGUAACUAAUGAAAUUCUGAUUUUGUAUUUUUUUGUGGUGUUCAAUCUUCUGCUUGAAAAAGGCGAAUCUGAGCGUCGUUUUAUAUGCUUAAAUAAAGGUCGUCUUUAGUUUUACAUUCGGUGAAUGUUGUUUGUAUCUGAAUAAUGUUUGGCAUAAUUUUGAUCCUUGUUUCUCAUGUUGGCAACAGCCCUUAUGCCAAUAUAUCUCCUUCCUUGUGUGUGAGUGGCUGUCUGAAGAACUUUGGGUGGGUGACUUUUGAGCUCCUGAUUUUGAGCUCUUUUGUGAUGUUCAAUCUUCUGCUUGAUAAAGGCGAAUUUGAGCCUCCUUUUAUAUGCUUAAAUCAUGGUUGGUUUUAGUUUUACAUUCGUUGAAUGUUGUUGGUAUGAGAACAAAGUUGGGCACAAUUUCGAUCUUUGUUUCACAUGAUGGCAACAGCCUGUCUACCAAUAUAUCUGCUUUCUUUCUUGUGUGUGUGAAUGACUGUCUGGCGAACUUUGGUGGGUGACUCGUGAGCUUCUGGUUUUGAGCUCUUUUGAUGUUCAGUCUUCUGCUUGAAAAUUUCGAAUCUGAGCCUCCUUUUAUAUGCUUAAAUCAUGGUUGGUUUUAGUUUUACAUUCGUUGAAUGUUGUUGGUAUGAGAACAAAGUUGGGCACAAUUUCGAUCUUUGUUUCACAUGAUGGCAACAGCCUGUCUACCAAUAUAUCUGCUUUCUUUCUUGUGUGUGUGAAUGACUGUCUGGCGAACUUUGGUGGGUGACUCGUGAGCUUCUGCUUUUGAGCUCUUUUGAUGUUCAGUCUUCUGCUUGAAAAUUUCGAAUCUGAGCCUCCUUUUAUAUGCUUAAAUUAAGGUAGGCUUGAGUUUACUUUGGUUGGGUGACGCUUGUGCUUCUGAUUUUGGGCUCUUUUGUGAUGUUCAAUCUUCCGCUUGAAAAAUGCGAAUGUGAGUCUCCUUUUAUAUGCUUAAAUCAAAGUCGGCUUUAGUUUUACAUUCGGUGAUUUUUUUUUUUAUUUUUGGUAUGUGAACAAAGUUUGGCAUUAUUUUGAUCCUUUUUUUUUUUUCAUUUUGUCAACUGCCCUCAUACGAACAUAUCUGCUUUCUUUCUUGUGUGUGUGUGUGGUUGUCUGGCAAACUUUGGGUGGGUUACUCGUGAGCUUCUGAUUUUGAGUUCUUUUGUGAUGUUCAAUCUUCUGGCGAACUUUUGGGUGGGUUACUCGUGAGCUUCUGAUUUUGAGUUCUUUUGUGAUGUUCAAUUUUCUGAUUGAAAAAGGCUAAUCAAAGCCUCCUUUUCUAUGCUGAAAUCAAGGUCGGCUUUAGUUUACUUUGGUGAGGUGACUCCGUGAGCUACUGAUUUUGAGAUUUUUUUGUGAUGUUCAGUCUUCUGCUUGAAAAAUGCGAAUCUGAGUCUCCUUUUAUAUGCUUAGAUCAAGGUCGGCUUUAUGUUGUUGGUAUGUGAACAAAGUUUGGCAUAAUUUUGAUUCUUGUUUCUCAUGUUGGCAACAGCCCUUGCACCAAUAUAUCUGCUUUCUUUCUUGUGGGUGUGAGUGGCUGUCUGGCAAACUUUGGUUGGGUGACUCUUGAGCUUCUGAUUUGAGCUCUUUUGUGAUGUUUAUUCUUCUGCUUGAAAAUGCGAAUUUGAGCCUCCUUUUGUAUGCUCAAGUCAAUGUCGGCUUUAGUUUUACAUUCAGUGAAUGUUGUUGUUGGUACGUGAAUAAAGUUUGGCAUAAUAUGGAUCCUUGUUUCUUAUGUUGGCAACAGCCCUUAUACCAAUAUAUUUUCUUUCUUGUGGGUGUGAGUGGCUGUUUGGCGAACUUUGGGUGGGUGACUCGAGAGCUUCUGAUUUUUAGCUCUUUUGUGAUGUUCAAUCUUUUGCUUGAAAAUGGUGAAUUGGAGCUUCCUUUUAUAUGCUUGAAUCAAGGCUGGCUUGAGUUUACUUUUGUUGGGUGACUCGUGAGCUUCUGAAUUUGAUCUCUUUUGUGAUGUUCAAUCUUCUACUUGAAACAGGCGAAUUUGACCCUCCUUUUAUAUUAACUCAAGGUAUGCUUUAGUUUUACAUUCGCCAAAUGUUGUUGGUUCGUGAAUAAAGUUUUGCAUAAUUUUGAUCCUUGUUGUUGUUGGUAUGUGAACAAAUGAUCCUUGUUUCUCAUGUUGGCAACAACGCUUAUAUCAAUAUAUCUGCUUUCUUUCUCGUGUGUGAGUAGCUAUCUAGGGAACUUUGGGUGAGUGACUCGUGAGCUUUUGAUUUUGAACUCUUUUGUGAUGUUCAAUUUUAUGCUUGGAAAGGCGAAUUUGAGUCUCCUUUUAUAUGCUUUUAAAUCAAGGUAGGCUUUGAUUUUUACCUUGUUUAGGUGACUCGUGAGCUUCUGAUUUUCAGCUCUUUUGUGAUGUUCAAUCUUCUGCUUGAAUAAGGCAAAUCUUAGCCUCUUUUUAUAUGCAAAACAAGGUCGCUUUAGUUUUACAUUCGGUGAAUGUUGUACGCAUGUGAAUAAAUUUUGGCAUUAUUUUUAUCCUUGUUUCUCAUGUUGCCAAUAGCCCUUAUAUGAAUAUAUCUGCUUUCUUUCUUGUGUGUGUGAGUGGCUGUCUGACGAACUUUGGGUGGGUAACUCAUGAGCUUCUGAAUUUGAGCUCUUUUGUGAUGUUCAAUCUUCUACUUGAAAAAGGCGAAUUUGAGCCUCCUUUAAUAUUAACUCAAGGUGGGCUUUAGUUUUACAUUCGCCGAAUGUUGUUGGUUUGUGAAUAAAGUUUUGCGUGAUUUUGAUCCUUGUUGUUGGUAUGUGAACAAAGUUUGGCAUAAUUUUGAUCCUUGUUUCUCAUGUUGGCAACAGCUCUUACACCAAUAUAUCUGCUUUCUUUCUUGUGUGUGAGUGGCUGUCUGGCGAACUUUGGGUGGGUGACUUGUGAGCUUUUGAUUUUGAGCUAUUUUGUAAUGCUCAAUUUUAUGCUUGAAAAAGGCGAG
rnacentral:lncRNA from 1 species